rnacentral:rRNA from 1 species
UACAGAGGUCUCAAGCGUUGUUCGGAUUCAUUGGGCGUAAAGGGUGCGUAGGCGGCGCGGUAAGUCGGAUGUGAAAUCUCGGAGCUUAACUUCGAAACUGCAUUCGAUACUGCCGUGCUUGAGGACUGGAGAGGAGACUGGAAUUUACGGUGUAGCGGUGAAAUGCGUAGAUAUCGUAAGGAAGACCAGUGGCGAAGGCGGGUCUCUGGACAGUUCCUGACGCUGAGACGCGAAAGCGUGGGGAGCGAACAGG